GUGCAGUUAGUACAGUGGUUCAGUACUCUCGUUUUCCAAACGCCGCCGGCAAGGACUGACCCAAAGAGGUUGAUCAAACGACAUAGCGACCCUGGUUCGAAUCCCGGACUGCGCA